GCCAGGGUGGCCUAGUAGGUUAAGGCGUUAGACUGAAGAUCUAAAGAUCGCUGGUUCGAUUCCGGCCCCCGGCA